CCGAAUAUUUAAGUUUAUCCUUUUGGAGUACAACUUGGUGCAGAAAGACAGCAACACAAACUGAGAUGGGUAAACCAAAGCCACUUGACUCCGCCUCUAGGCCAAGAGGAUAUAAGCCGUUCUCAGGGCAUCCCAGCUAGAGCUGUUCUCCAGAGCUUCAGGGCUGGGCCCUCCUUCAAGGCACGGAAGCUUAGCCAUGGCUCUGGGUCCCAAGAAGGCAGAUCUGCUACCAACAAGCUAGGAUCCAAAACAGCCCCCAAGCCUGAGGCCAGCACCUUCCUCAAAGGGAGUCAGGGUCACUGAUUCUCUCUUCGUUAGAGGAGCCCUUGUCAGGGAGGAGGAGGAGCCAAGCUGGAGCCCACCAUGAACCCAGGGCCAGUUAACAGGUACUCCUGAAGGACUUUGACUGAAGCCACCGCCAUUUCCCCGUGCAAAGCCAGUGUGACUGUCUGAAGGCCAUCGGUGCUCACUGAGCUACU